GGGGAUUUAGCUCAGCGGCUUAAGUGCCUGCCUUGCAAGCAGGCAGUUGUGAGUUCAAUCCCUG
rfam:Cavia porcellus supercont2_36 genomic scaffold, whole genome shotgun sequence.